rnacentral:rRNA from 1 species
UACCAGCACCCCGAGUGGUCGGGACGAUUAUUGGGCCUAAAGCAUCCGUAGCCGGCCUUACAAGUCCCCCGUUAAAUCCAACUGCUUAACAGAUGGGCUGCGGAGGAUACUAUAAGACUAGGAGGCAGGAGAGGCAAGCGGUACUCAGUGGGUAGGGGUAAAAUUCGUUGAUCCAUUGAAGACCACCAGUGGCGAAGGCGGCUUUCUGGUCUGUAACUGACGCUGAGGCGCGAAAGCGUGGGGAGCAAACAGG